GGAGGAGUGGCCGAGCGGCUUAAGGCGACGGUCUUGAAAACCGUUGUACGGGAAACCGUACCGGGGGUUCGAAUCCCUCCUCCUCCG
rnacentral:tRNA from 1 species